rnacentral:rRNA from 1 species
UACGAAGGGGGCUAGCGUUGUUCGGAAUUACUGGGCGUAAAGCGCACGUAGGCGGACUAUUAAGUCAGGGGUGAAAUCCCGGGGCUCAACCCCGGAACUGCCUUUGAUACUGGUAGUCUCGAGUCCGGAAGAGGUGAGUGGAAUUCCGAGUGUAGAGGUGAAAUUCGUAGAUAUUCGGAGGAACACCAGUGGCGAAGGCGGCUCACUGGGUCUCAACUGACGCUGAGGUACGAAAGCCAGGGUAGCGAACGGG